AUUUAGCUGAUUUGUGAUAAAUUACAGCUUUUUGUACUCUAAUCUUAAUAUACAAAUAUUUCUAUUAUCUUUUGAUGUGUUUAUUAUCUUACUGCAGUUAUUUAAUCUUACAACGGAAAUAAGAUUGAAGUGAUAAUUAUUUCCAUCAUGAUUGGCUUAUAUCUAAUCAUAUUUAUCAUCUAAUCUUCAAGUCCAGAGAUAUGGGUUUCUCCAAGGAAUCAAACACUAAUGAAAAGAUCCAGAAAUUUCAAUGUUACCAAUAGAUUGAUACAUCUUAUGUCCAUGACUUAUGUCUAAAAGGUGAUUGCUUGAACCAGUGGACCGACUAUGGUUCAUGGUGAAGUAAUGUCAUGAAUAUUAACUCUUGAUUUUCAAUAUUGGAGUAAUCUUUCAACAAUGUUCAAUCAAAUGACUGUCAUUCCUGAUUUGCUUGGCCAAUACUCAAUGAAGAGCCAGCGUCCCAUUAAAAGUCAAUAUGUUGAAAUUUGAUCCAAUACUAAUUUGGUUAGCGGUGUUGAUGAUGAGGAAGAUCCGUCCAUCAACAAAAAUUGCUGCAAGUGCAGUUGUCACAAGUAAGAUUAAAUCAAGUACUUAUGGCUCUUGACCUAGCUUAAGUCAAAGGUUAAGGAUCGGUUAUUUUGGUGCACAUCAAUAAGGCUUUCAUCAAAAAAUUGUCAAAAGAUUAUUGGAAAAUCAAUGAGAACAGGAAAUUUGGAAAAUAUGGUUUCCAUUGAUUUAUGUGAUUUUUGGUGUUACAAAGAAUCCUUUACCUCUAUCAUGUAUGGAUGGAGUCAAAGAAAUGAAUUCAACUGAAGUCAUGUUAAUGAUUGGAAAAGAUGUGUCUAGAAGAUCAUUAACAAUGAUCAGGAAUGAAGAGAAGAGGAAAAAAUAAUUGAAAAAUCAGUCAAAGAACUCAUGAUUCUUUUGAUUUAUUUUCAAUUCAGUCUUUUAGUUACAUCUGAUUGACACAACAUUCAAUAUAUUUAUUUAUCUAACAUGAAUUCAAUUAAUUUACCCUUGUCAUUUAGGAUUUGAUUAUAAUUUUCAUCUUUUCCAGCCUUUGCAACAACUUUGCGUAUUUACUUUAAAUUGUAUCUAAAUUUAGUUCCACAGACUUUUUGCUACACAAAACCAACUCCAUGGUAAUUCACCAACAAUCAAAUCAUUUGAUUGAUUUAAAGUGAAACAAUAUGGUUCGAGACAUGAGAAGCCAACUCUUUGAAGGAUUUUUCAAUUUUUUGGGUUAAUUUUCUAAUUAUUUUGGUUUCGUGUUUAUUAUGGUUACCAUUACGUAUAUCAUGAGCUGUUCAAUUAUUCAAUGAACCAUGUUUUCACUGAAAACUCAUCUUUUCCUAUCAAGUUUCACCAAGAAGCCAACCAAGGCCGCAAAUCAAUGUUAAAUUCAAUGUUUACAAAUACAAGGAAUGGAUAGAAAAGUUGCAGAAAAUUUAUUACAUGAUUUAAAAUAACAUUUAUUUAUCAUUAAAUAAAUUGUUGUACAAGUUAAUAUUUCAAUGAAAUGCUUGCUUCCCUCUGUUUUAUAUCGCCAAAGUAUUUGAUAAUUAAUGUUUCGUUAAUUAGCAUUCAUGGUGAUUGUGAAUCAUUAACACCAUCAUAUGACAAUUCAUUGUUUCAAUCAACAAGUUACAAUGUUCAAUGUAACCAGAUUCACGUUAACAGUUAAUUGCUUUGUUUAUAUGGCUCUUUGAACGGUUACUUGUUUAACACAUUAAGCGAUAUAUCAUAUUGAAAUAUAUUUGAUUGAAUCAGGCAAAACAGCUUUUCUUUGAUCAAUCAGCUGCUGAUAAUUUAAUAAUCAGCUUCAAAUGUUUCUUCUUCUAACCCAUUCAAAGUAGGCAAAAAUGUAACCAGAAUAUUGAAAUAAGCUGAAAAUACUUCGAUAGAGAUUCCAUGUUCUUUGCUUUGUUUACAUCAUUUGAGAUUAUCCUGAUCAAAUGUUAGGCAAUUUAAGUUUACCUAAAUAUCCAAAGGAAAUCUGACCAUUUUAAGCAUCUAAAUCUCUUGAAAAUUGAACAGAAUUGAAAUCUUAAAAGUAUCUCAACAUGAAAAGUAAUCCAGAUUGGAUUGUACGGUAAAAGUAUUGCUUGCCAUUCACUGGUUAUGCCAUGAUAUAACCACUGCUAUCAGUGAUUAGUGCAUAAAAUUAACUGUUUAUUAUGUUAAUUAAUUUAAAUCUCGAUUAGAUUAUUUUAAAGUGUUUUCUCAU